AAGACACUAGUAAAGCCCAUUAUAUUGCCUUGUCAAGGCAAAGUCGCGGGUUAAAUCCCCGCGUGUCUUG
rnacentral:tRNA from 1 species